UUGAAGUAGAUCAUUUUUCUCUAAGUUAGAUCUUCCCGUGAAUCUGAACCAAGUCUAAAUUUUAAUCAACUCUUUGAUCUUCUUUUUCUCUUCUUUUUUUUGAUCUCCUUCUCUUGAUCUUGAAGCAAUCAAGAUCUGAAAUCAGAUUGAAAAGAGAGGGACACCCAAUAGCCUUGGGGUGUGAAGAUGGUGGACGUCCAAGAACUCUUGGAUGUUGGACGUCCAAGAACUCUUGGAUGUUGGAACUAGAGGGAGGAAGAGAGAGGGCGUGGAGACCUUUGGGAGGCUAGGAGCAAUCUAAAAAUUCUGAUGUUUAAGGUCUAGGAAAAGGCCUCUUAAAUAGAGAUGUACUUAGAGUCCUAACCAAGAACAAAUCAGCCCUUAAGGAUGAGUCCUAAUCACAUAGGAUGACUCCUUAUAAUCAGCCUUUGACCACACCUAAAUGAAUCAAGGGGAGCACCAACACUUGGCGCCCUCUAGAGCUCUCUAUCACAUGCC
rnacentral:lncRNA from 1 species